GCAAACAGUUAACUAGCAUAACCAUGUCCGGCCUUCGAAGCCGGGAGUCGGGGGUUCGAAUCCCUCCGGGCGCACCA
rnacentral:tRNA from 1 species